rnacentral:rRNA from 1 species
CGAACGAUUAAAGCUCUCUUCGGAGAGUGCAUAGAGUGGCGCACGGGUGAGUAACACGUAAGUAAUCUACCUUCGAGUGGGGAAUAACAGUCGGAAACGGCUGCUAAUACCGCAUAAUGCAGCGGCAUCGCAAGAUGACAGUUGUUAAAGAUUUAUCGCUUGAAGAGAAGCUUGCGGCAGAUUAGCUAGUUGGUAAGGUAAUGGCUUACCAAGGCUACGAUCUGUAACCGGUCUAAGAGGACGGUCGGUCACACUGACACUGAAUAACGGGUCAGACUCCUACGGGAGGCAGCAGUCGGGAAUUUUGGGCAAUGGGCGAAAGCCUGACCCAGCAACGCCGCGUGAAGGAUGAAGUAUUUCGGUAUGUAAACUUCGAAAGAAUAGGAAGAAUUAAUGACGGUACUAUUUAUAAGGUCCGGCUAACUACGUGCCAGCAGCCGCGGUAAUACGUAGGGACCAAGCGUUGUUCGGAUUUACUGGGCGUAAAGGGCGCGUAGGCGGCAUGACAAGUCACUUGUGAAAUCUCCGGGCUUAACUCGGAACGGCCAAGUGAUACUGUCACGCUAGAGUGCGGAAGGGGCAAUCAGAAUUCUUGGUGUA